rnacentral:lncRNA from 1 species
ACCAUCAACCUCAUCUCCUCCCUCCUCUCCUCACCUCUUUCUCUCCGUCUGCUGCCGCUGCUCUCACAUCACACUCCUGUCUGUCUGUCUGAUGCGCUUUCUAUCCGGUAAGAGAGGAUUUUUAUGCACAAUAAAGGAGCCAGUUUAUGAUGAAUGCAGCAGGGAAAAUACACGAAGAUGUGAAGAGGGGGGGGAAAGCCACUAAACAAGAACAGGAGCUGUUAUGCACGUGAGAAACACGGGAUACGAGGUACAUCUCUCUCUCUCUCCCUCCCUUUCUCUCUCUCUCUAACUUGAUGCUACUGUAGGCCUAUUUAAAUGAACUGCAUAUUCCUUUAUUCUCUUAAUCAACACGAGAGUCUAAUUGGAGGUAUAAUUAUUGGAUUAAAGUCAAUAUUAUAAAACACGAAAUAGGUGAAGUGUUGUGUGCGUAAUUUUAGAUAUAUUUCAGUGUUUUAUUUUACUAGAGUUUCCGUAUUGGUGGUGUAAUUUGAUUAGAAUCAGAAUCAGAAUGUCCUUUAUUGUCAUCAUACUAAAAGUACAACCAGAUUGGAGAGCUUCUCUUUUUCCAGUGCAGUAGACAGGUAAAAAUAAGGUAGUAAAAGUAGUAAUAGUCGUAAGAAAGAAGGUACUAUAUAAACAAGACGAGUAUUUAUUGGUGCAUGUAGUCUUAAAGAAAAUUAAGUUACAUCUGAAAACGAAGCCAUAUUCCAAGUCCUAGCAAUCUCUCUUAAAUUAUUGCAAGCUCAUUUGUAUUAAAACUUGUUAUGGCGAAUAAUUGAUGAGUUUAAUUGAGAUAGUGUAAUAACAGCAACAUGGUCACAAUCAUUUUACGCAUGAUACGGCCUUUAGAGAGCCAAAGACUCAGCAGAAAAUCUCACCCAUGUCCUGACAGGUUUUUUUUUUCCUAAUCUCGCGAUUAAUCGACGCUAAAGUUUCUGCAAACUCCUGAAUACUUAAUGAGGCCAUGUGCUCAUGAGAGAAGUAUUCGUGUAUUAAGAAGAAGAGGAGGAGGUGGAGGUGGUGGAGGAGGAGGUGGAGGAGGAGGCCCGGGCAGCGCUGCAGUGCAGAGUUCAGCAGAGAUAUUGUUGUGAGCCUGGGAAAGUGUAGCGGGGCUGACGCCAGACUCGGUCAGGCAGGGAGGGGGGGCACCUCGAGGAUCCCAGACCGGAUUGUCAUGCUAAUGUCUCCCCGGCACGUUGUUGAACUUGAUGUUGACUUCUUUCUUUACUGGGGGGUGAGACAGAAGGGGAGGAGGAGGAGGGGGGUGAAAUUUUCCCUGUCACUUGUUUGUGGGAAAAUCCAAGUGAGGACACACACACACACACACACACACACACACACACACACACACACCAGUUUUUAACAGUCACUACAGUUGAUUUAAUCCUGAUGCAUUAUAUUUCUCAGAAUUAAUACAUUCAAUUCAACUGUAUAUCUUAAAAACCCAAUUGGCUUGUGGUUAAACAUCUUGAAAUACUAACUUGAACAACUCAAACAUUUAUUCCAACAAAACAAGUAUUUUAUGGGAUUGCUUUCAAGUGCUAAAUUUUUGCUUAACUCGGAUAUAGAAAAAACUCUUGUGCAAAAUCUGACCAGAACAGAGUCUAAUAUUUAUAUUUAAUUCAAAAUUGUAAUUUUAAAUUGUGUCUUUAAUUUGUUUCUUGGAUUGAACAUGUCUCUUCAGAAUUUGAGUUUGCAAGGAUACAGAGAUACACGUGCAUUCUCACGCCCUCCUUGCGCAUGCUCAAGAGGAUUGACAUUUGUAGCUCCAGUUAAAAUGCAAAUGCAGUAACGAUGGGUUAGUUUUAAAGGAAGUGUGUGUAGGCCUUCUUCAGCCGUGCACAGUGUGAUGUUAGUUCAAUUACAUUAGGACAGCACUAGAGUCACAGCUGAUUACAUCUACUUAGAAAUGAUGAAGAGUCCGGCUCCUCAUAAAUGAUGAAGAGGAGAACAGCAGUGAUACAGUAUGGAGGAGGUGGUCCUGUGCUGCACCUCCAUGAUACUAACAGAUUGCUCAUGCGCAAUAAUCAGAUAUGUAGCUGCUAUCUGAUGCAAGCUUCGUUGGGAAACCCGGACUGUAGCUGCUCUAUGCUCUGUUAUUGGUUUACCUUUACACACACACACACACACACACACACACACACACACACACACACACACACACACUCCAGCACCUUUUUAAAUAUCAUUUCAAACUUUGAAAGAUAUUACAAGUUGCUAUUCUCGUCUCUGCUUGGCUUCUUUUAUCAAACAGUGUGAUUAUUAUCGCUCGCACUAUCUCAUCUCCUCAGCACAGAUAUCUUUCAUAUCAUAACAUCACUAUCGAUAAGGCUGCAUAUAUUCCCUGAAUAUGUUAUCAGAGUUUGGCUAGCUGUGGGUCCUCUCUGCACCAAGGACAGGAACCAGGAAUUCCUCUGCUCAGUAUGAAUUUCUGUAUUUUUUGUUGGCUAUACUAGACUUAAAAUCAGUGCCCUUGCAGCAUCUUUUUGUCCUCUGCACAUUAUAGACACCUAAGAUCAGAAAAUACACUAUAAUAUUUUUUAUUAAUGCCCCACAAAUGCCAUUAAAGGUCGUAUAGCCUAUUUAAAAAAGCUAUAACAAUAAGAAUGGGGAAAAUGUGCUCUAAAAGCCACAGUCAACCUACAUACAGAAGUAGGGCAGCUGAGAUACUUUAUAACGUAUCUGGUUAUAUUUUUACAAUUAGCUACACAAUAUAAAAGAGAGCUAACGCUUUCAUCUCAAGUUGUUUUAUUAACGUUUUUUGUUUUAGCCUCCUAAACUGACCUUAAAAACCUUAAUUAAAUGAAACAUCUCGACAGCUAUUUUAUGUUGAGGAGUAUUAGCUUAUAACACAACAACAGUUCUGAUAAAUAAGCUAAAUGCUCUUUGAAGAUGGCUGUUUUUUUCUCCAGAAUAUUGAAUUCGAGAGAUUUUUUCUGGACUGCUAUGAACUACAAUUAUAAAAAUAAAGAGCAGUUGUCAGAGAAAUUUCUACCGUAUGGGUUUUUCAUACAAUGCUGAAUUAAUUUCACCAAAAUAUACCUUUUAUCGAUGUUAAAAACUGUAAAUGUCACAUAACUCCACCUGCCCCCCCAUUCCCCCUCUUUUUAAACUUAUCUUCACGCGCUUCUUCUCUGUCUUCUCAUUGGUCUGUUGUCUAAUGAGGAUAAUUGGUGCAAUAAACCACUGAUUGACGCACACCUGCUUUCAAUUUCCAAUAGGCUUUAAUUACUCUCUCUCUCUCUCUCUCUCUCUCUCUCUCUCUCUCUCUCUCUCUCUCUCUCUCUCUCUCUCUCUCUCUGAGGCGGAGUUUGUCCCCUCUGCUCUCUCUCACUGGGUGCACGCUCUGCACUUGUCAGUCAGUCGCAGCUCGCGCGUGCGGGAGGGAGGGAGGACACAUUGAAGCUCAUAGAAAGCUCGUGCGACAGUUUUAUCCUCGAUGAUUAUUUGUUUUUUUUUUUACUCUAUUUCCUCUGAUUGGAUGCGUUCAGAUCACGCAUCGAUCUCGGCGGGAUUGAAAUAGUUGGAGGAUAUUGACUGGAGUGGAGUUAGCUUAAUGUGCAAGUAAGUGGGAUGCUGCCUUUAUGUGAUUGAGUUGUCUCUGGCUUCUGUGUAUUUAUAUUUUAUUUUAGUCCACAGCCUGCUUUUUAAAGGCAGUUGCAUGUAUUCCUGGAGGCUGCUUAAUUCUGGUGUGUUUCUUGUAAACUGUAGCUGUGACAUUAGCAUUAAAGGAUGUUUGGUGGGAACUUUAUUGUCUUAAAGGCCCACUGCUGUGUGCCUCAAAACUGAUGCAGUCCUAACAAUGUAUAUAUAAAAAAUAACAACAACCCUGACAGCCUAAAAAAUGGGUUUAUUUACCACCAAAUGAUUGGGACAGGGUUGCAAAUGGAUGGGUUAGUGUGUCUGAUAAGGCCUUGCUUCAAGUGUUUCAAGGCAAAAAGUGCCACCUCAGCAUCAAACCGAGACUGUGGUUGAGCAUGCUUAGAGUUUUGGCAUCACAGUGUGUUUUAAAAUGGUUUCUUAAAGUUGAACUUCAUGAUGGGCCGAGAUGUGUGAGUGUGUGUGGAUGUGAAACACGUCUUUGAAGCCAGUGCCUCAUUUUAUUCAUCUAUUGAACUUGUUUUCAUCUCCUUAUGAGAAUUUCACAGCUGAAAUCCACGGUAGAGCUUUUCUUUUAUUGUGCAUCUUGUCUAUAUGUUUUGUGUGUGUGUGAGUGAGUGAGUGAGUGUGUGUGUAUGAGGAGCUCAGUGUGAACACAGGCAGCCUCUCUUUCGCUCUCUCUCCCUCCUUCAUCCUCUCCUCUCUCUCUGUUGGUGUUGGAGGGGCGGCCCCUUUAAGAGACGACGGGUGUUAGUUUGUGUCUUUGGUUAUCUAGCUGUAUGAGUUUUAAUUUCAUAAAGCUAGAGAACCGAAAGUACGAACUGACGCCGAGCACUUCGGAACCCAGGUGAUGAUGGGGGGGAUCCUCUCGCUCGCUCCGGCAUGGAGGAGGAAGAGGGGGAGGAGGAGGAAGCAGCAGCGGCAGGAGGAAAGCAGCAGCAGGGACGGAUGCUGAGGGGAGGCUGCACGAGGCUUCCGUGGAGGAGGAGGAGGAGGAGGUUGUGGAGGUUUUAGAGCUCGAGCAGAAACCCCCGGUGUGAUGUGAAUGUCGUUGGUCCACCUCAGGUUCAGAGGAGUCCUCCGCGUGUCUGCGAGCGCGUGAAUGUUGCUGCGUUUAAGGGGCUCGUGUUGUGGGCACCGCGGUGAUGCUUAAGGCCUAUAAUGAUGAAGAAAAUUGACAUUUCGUUGAAACGUUGCGCAUGUGGACAGUGCGCACCAAAACCUCCUCCGUGUGUUGUCGAGUAGUUGUCAUAACUGUGUGGGUGUUCUUACAUUAAUAUCUGGAGGGGCUUGACAGAAAUAGUUAAAAGAUUCCUCUGAUUGGUCCAACCUGGAAUCACGUGACAGUGUUGGCAGCAGCAGUAACUCGGUAUUUCAGAUCUCACAUGUUGGUUAUUGUGUUCUCUUUCCAGGUGGAGAAGUUAGCAUUGAGCAGCAAGGCCCCAUUAAUUAGAUUAAUUAGUUCUCUUGGGUUGCAUCUAGACUCCCUCACUCCCUUGUUUGUUUCUUUCAUUAUGUUGUUGACUAACUAUUUCCUCCUGGCUGUAAAGGAGUGUUAACUAUAAUAGUGUAAAAGGGUUUGGAAUGGUCUGAUCAAGUAUUUUAGCUCUGUGAAUUAAAAACAUACAUUUGUUUUGUUUCAGUUUUUUCAGGGUCACCUAAUGUGGGGUGUUUGACCAUUUGCUACCAAACCAAAACAUGCAGCAUAUACACCACAUCCAGAUCACCAGUGCAAACAAAAAAAAAAGAAAAACAGGCCCUAUGCACCACCAUCUUCAUCCUGUUUCCAACAUGCUCUCAUCACUGCGUUUGAAUCCGGGUUAGACAUGGCAGAUGCGUUCAAAUUUGUGUUUUGCAGGGUGGAUUAUUUUUGUGUUUGCCUGCUAGAUAAGAACAAAAUAGGACAUGGGCUCAGAGUUUGAUCUAUUCUUAGAGCGGAAUCAGCGAGCCUCGGAGAUGACUGAAUAUCCCUGAAGUCCCAGCAUGCUCUAUUUAGACCAUGACUGACAACAUUUGAUGUGCGCCGUUAGACAAGAGAGCCGGGAUGGUGUGUGAGCGAGUGUGCGUGUGUGUGUGAGUGUUGUUGAUGCUUGCAUAUGUGAACUAAUGUGCUAACAUACGAUUUGACCCCCAUGUCCUCCAUCUUGGUGUGAUACAAAGCAGAUCCUGGUGACGAUUCCACCUCAAUGGUUACAGAUUUUAGCAAAGGCAUUGUUGCGUCCUAUAAACAGUCAGUAGCAUAUGGCAACUUUGCUGCUGCUCUGGAGACAUAUACCACACAUCAUUGUUUUUUGGUGUGUUUUUCUUCUUAAUGUGUGACUCUUCCAGCGUCACUUUAUGUUUUUUGCUUUUCUUAAGCUGUUGAUUUACUGUUGAAGCAACAGAAAAUAUAAACAUGCUCUCUCAGGAGCAAAAUAAUUAAAAGUGUGUGGAGAAAAAAAAGCAAACAUGAAGUGCUGUUAGCUGCAAGGUCAACAACACUGCAUUCAUUUCUUCUUUUCUUCCACUGCAUUGAAAGCCUCUAUUUAUCCCUUAAGUGAUUUGUUUUGUUGAAAAGUAAGCAUACCCUGAUCUUCUUUUCUUUUCUUUUCUCUUGAUAGGAAAAUGACACCACCUCGGGAUAAAGACAAGCUGCCACCAGACAGGAUGAGGAGCGACAGAGAGCCUGCAGGUAAAUAUCAGAGAAACAUUGAGAAAUUAUCCCCUUGUUACAAGAUAAUGCUGCUGAAAGCACCAAGAGUUUGGGUGUUUGGGUAUUUAACCUUGUACAUAUUUUGUACGUAUCUUUGAUGUUUUGAAGUUGUCACUGUCAGUGUUUGCUAAUAGGAGCUCUCAGAUGGUUUCAUUUUUUAGAGUCUUGCAUAAGUGAUGGUGCAGCAUUCCUGGUUCUUGAUUUUCUUCCAUAUUUGUUGAGCUGUGAGGAUGGAGCUUGUUGUGUGUGUGCAUGUGUGUGUGUGUCGUGUGGGUGUUAAAAAAAAAAAAAGUCUGACCCUGUAUUUCUGAAAUAUUGAGGAUUUUCUGUUUUGCAUCAAGAAUGACUUGUGCUGUAGUGGACCACGCACGUCUUAUUCAAGCAGGAAGGAGCGUUAAGCGGGACAUUUAUAAGCUGGUUUUACUCGGCCACAGUGUAAAUGUCUGUUUUAUAUCAUCCAUAUAUGUAUCAUUCAGACUGUGUGGAGCUAUAGUACCCUACAGCACCACAGAGUAAACGCUGUGAUUUGAGCUAGUGAAGUAAGACCUCCAUAUUGAAUUCCAUCAUUCCUUUGAAGUAUUAACAUCUUUUACAUUGUACAUCACCCCCAUCCUCCUCCUACACACACACACACACAUGCACACACACGUCUCUCUUUCAUACUCUCACGUCCAGCGUUUUAUCCCUUUAAACACUGUGAUCCUAUUUGUCAGGUAGAGUGUGUGGUAGGUGCAGGGGAGGUGGCCGUGUAAUCUUUGCUGCGGUUCUUUAUCCCGUUAGGAGAACGCGUACGACGUUUGGAGCUGCUCAUGUGGAAAGAGCGUUUGGGUGGCUCUGUCCUUUUUGGCGCUAAUGCCUAGACAAGUCACCCUCCCCUCGCUCAAAGUCUCCUGAUUAUUGUGAGCAAAGUGACGGCAUGCAUAGAGGUAUGCAUGGUUUAGCGAAGGCAGCAUUAGGUCAAAGUUGGAAUAUCGUAGAUUACAAAAGGGAGCUAGGAAGUUAAGCACAGUGAGAAGUUUAUUUUUUCACUUUUAAAUCAAAAUUUAAUUCCCAAAUCUUUUGGCUCUUGAGGAAUAAAAUGUUUUGGUGUUAUUUUAGCGAGGACUGAAACAGACAUUCCUCGCUUUUCAGUUGUCUGUCUUUUCCCUCCAAUUCCACCCCCAAAAAAGUCCCACGUUAGGAAUUAAACAAUAAGUACACAUUGUUAGCAAGGUCAAAUCUUCAUGGUUCCACAACCUUGAGGCUCAAUCUAAAGCUCAGUUAUUCAAAUUUAGUGUGGCGUUCUUUAAGGCGCCCAGAUUUUCCCAAGCUUUCGAUUAGCAUAUGCAAGGGCCGGCCUGUGCUGCUGUUUUCUAAAGUGGAUGUAAAUUAUAACCUCAGUAUUAUACAGGCUGAUGGGAGAUAAAUCUCUGCAGUAAUGCAUUGCAGGGAGUGGGGGUAGGGUGGGUGGGGGUGCUGUAAAGGGGUUGUGCGUUUGUGUGUGUGUGUGUGCGAGGUACUGUACAAUAGCCGGUGGCAGAUGGAAUACAGACUAGCAAAGGGCUGGCUGAUAGCAUGCUAAACUCCCUUUUUACCGGCUUUAGUUUGUCCGAUUUUUACAGAUCCUGGACAAAAAAGCAGAGAUUUUCAGAGGAGAUACUUCUGAAAUAAAAAUGUUAAAUCAGCUACAUUACUGGCGAGAUGAAUUUGCAAGUGUGUACACAUUGUUUUAAAACAAAUAUUAACACAGGAAGAUUACUAAGUCGAAAUCUGCACUUGUGCGGUCCAAAGGGCUGAGGCUUCAGGCCUCACGAGCUGAGUGCAGAUCUUUUUGGAAUCUCUAUGCAAACUAGGGCUUGAAUAAUGAGAUGUAUUUAUGAAGGGCUGGGAAGGGGGUCCCUGCUUUUGAAAGCAAGUAGGCCGGAGCCUGAAUGGGAUGGAGGGAGGUGGGGUUGAAGGAGAAGGAGGGGGGGAUGAGGGGUGUGUGUGUGUGUGUGUGAGAAGAGGGGGUACAGGGGGCCCCCAGCAGCCCGGGCCUCGGCUGAGGCAGCUGUGAAAAGGGGUCCCGUCUUUUUCCCACGCCCAGCAAGACGCGAAACACUGCCGCGGCUCGCUAGGGUCAAGUCCCAUCGCUAAUAUAUACACGCAUACAUACACACGCACGCACGCACACGCGGGGAGAGCGAGGGAGAGUUGUGUGUGUAAAAGUUGUGCAAAUUAACAAGCUGUCUGGGAAGCUCUGUGACAUAGGGACACCUGCUAUACUCCCAGAAUGCUUUGCAGCCUCAUCAAGGGCCACUGGGACAACAAUUAGGUCAUAGCUUCAACUUGAACUUAAAAAUUGGCUGAAGAUUGAAAAGAGUCUGGAUCAUAUUUCUCUCUGCUGUUUUCGAUCUAAACGUUAAAAAAAUAAAAAUAACACUUUAAUGAUUCUGCUCUUGCUAAGUUUUAAAAAUACAGUUUCUAAAAUAGUUUUCUAAAAUAGUGAUCAUUGUUAGAUUUUGAAGGAAAACGUGCUUUUUUUUAUUUUUGCAACUCUAGUGUGCAAAAACACAAGUAAAUGCUGAAAUGUUGAACUUGUACGAUUGUUGCUGUGUCCAUUGACGCAGAGACAAACUUGGCCUUGUGCUUGAUCCGAGACCCUAACUGUCAACUUGGCAUUGUCUGUCUGCACACACCCAUGAUCCCACCCACCCACACGCACGCACACACACAGAGCUUGUCUCAGGGACACACAAAAGAGAAUUUGAACAUGAAUUGGAGGAAGGUUGGAGAAAGAUAUUGAGGAAUGUUUUAAGUCUGAACUCUGACCUUUUGUGCUUCUUUAAAUUUGAAAACAGGCACAAUGUGAGAGACCAAAAACACUGACGACCGACGAUGAGCCUGAAAAGAGAGGCAAAAAUCCUACUCUUAAAAAAUAAUCUCCUUGGUCUAAAUCUUGUGUGAAAUUGUAGUUUCUUGUUUAGAUAUCAGCUUGUAUCUUUGACCACCCAUUGUUGUUUACAGCAGCCAUGCUCCUUUCUUCCUCUUGAAGCUGGUGUCACACCCAUUCCUCCCCUCAAGAUACUGGCACACCAAUCAAAUCGGUGCAUCACUUCUUUCACUCCCCGCCGUAGCUGCAUCAGAGCGGUGUCACACUUAUUCUCUUCCCCCUGCCUACUCCAGCUACUUUCUUGAAUUCCACAUGGAGACUCUCCUGUUAUGGUUUUUAGAAUAUUAGCAAAAGCAUCCAAUCUUUUUCUUUUUUUGGUGUCUCACCCUCCUCCUCCCCUGCUCCUCCUCCUCCUCCUCUUCGUCAUCAUUUUCCCUCCUAUUCAGAGAAGUCUGAAAUAGAGAGGGGGCUCCUUCUAAUUAGCUCUGUAAAGAUGCUUUGUGGCGGUCAGUGUGGCCACCAGUGUGUGCAGAGAGAGGUGAUGUGUGACAGCUAGUGUUAGCAUUAAGAACAUGUGUAUGGGCCCUUAAUGAGGUUUGUUAGCUGAGUGUGUAUCCUGCCGUUUGAAUGCACCCUCGGCAGCCUUUGAAGGAACGGAGAUGAAGAGAGCGAGGAGGAGGAGGUGGAAAAGGAGAGAGGAGUCUUUCAGCGUGGCAGGUUGCAGAAUACAGAUUAUGCAUUAUGCUCAGUGUGGUUUCUAUUUGAACGGAAGAUGAGGGGAGCAUAAUGCUUCACUUGCACGUUGUCUGGGGAAAACGUGGGAAAUAAACGCAGGUCAUCUCGCUCAUCAGAUGUAAAGGAGUUAUUUACCUGGUCUUAUGACAUUUGCAGUGAUUCCAGUAAGUCUUAACGGUAUAAGAUAAGCGAAACAGGAGAGCGAUAGAGCUGAUUUCCUGUAAAUAUAAGAUCAAAAUUCAUCUCUAUGUUUGUAUUUUAUGUAGUUUUUUUUUAAGGUCAAGCUUAUUAACAAGAUAUAAAAAGAAAGGGUAAAAAAAAUAGUAAAUGAUAAUAUAAAAUCAGUUAGAAGAGAGCUAACAAAAACAUCCAAAUUAAGAUUAGACGCGACAAAUUUAAAUAACCAAAUAAAAUAUCUAAAGAGCCAAAUGGAGAUAUAUAACUGCACAUCCUCAAUCCUGUUAGACCAGAUCAUGUUGAUGUACAGUAUGAUUCAGAAAGGACUCCCAUACGUUAUAAAAUGUUUAAUUAUUGUCACGCCGCCAAGCUUCUGGUGCAUGAGAGGCCUUAUGCUAAUUCGUUUAUAAUAUGUAGUCAUGAAUGGGGCAAAGAAGGACAGGAGCGAACUCACUGGAAAAGAGAGCACCAUUUAUAAAUCUGUAUUGGGACACCGAAGUGUUUGGAUCACCAAUUAUUUGUUAGUUUUUCUGCUUUUAAGGAUUUUACAAUGAGGAAACACACUACUGUUCAUCCAUGGAUAGACAAUCAGGAAAUAAUAAUCAUGUACUAUGAGGUGAGAAACAAACAUUUCAGACAGAAUGUGGAGCAGAUUUGGUGGUUAUCCUGGAGAUUAGAGAUGUCGAGCUGCAGAUGAGAGCCAGAGGUGGAAGGUAGAAGCUGAGAAAAACCAGGUUGGGAAAUGAGGGAUUGUAUGGAGGCAAAGAGGCGACCUGCUGGGCUUGCCUGCUGCCUCACAGAUUGUAAACUGUCACUCAGGAUGCACACAGACAAGCAGACAGACAUCAUUUGCCCACAUCACCCUCUACUACUGAAACUGUCGCCCCGCAGCCCCCUACUGCUCCCCUUCUUUUUCCUUCCCUUCACUCCAUUUCCAGGCCUUUUUCUCCUUGGCGCGUGCACAUGCAUGUAUAUAAACUCCCUAAUCUAUUUCCUCUAUUUUCCAGCUCCUCUCCUCUACUUUUCUCUCUGUCUCCGGGUUUUCCGUUGAUGAAAUGAGUCAGCUUGCAGCAUACUCUCCCCUCUCAUUGUUCGCUGGUUCGUUGCCUCUCCAUAGGAGGUAGAGAGUGUUUGGGCUCUUUCCCCUGUUUUACCAGUUUACCAGUGUAAUCCUUUACAGCGGCACAAUGAGCUCUCACUCCAGCCGCAGGAUUCUAUUAGGCUCCCAGAGAGACAUGGGAUCUCCAUAAACAUUUUCCAUCUGCCCCUGAACCCCCACCCACCCUCCCUACACAACCUAUACCACCUCAAACACAGCCAAAAUAAUACUUUCCUUUAUGCAUUAAAAGCAGAACUCUGUUUUUUACCCAUCCACAGAGAAGAGAGAACAAAAUCGUACACACGCACAUUACAAACGACUUGUUAAUGCUGUCAGCUUCACUCCCAAAACAGUGGUCUUUUACAACUGCAGAACGAAUAACAAGCAGCCGGGGACAAGCAAAUGCUUGUUAUAUGGUCUUUGGAGGAAAACAGAAGAUGUUUAAAAAAAAACGCUGAAAUCAGAGGAGGAUGUGAUUUGUGCUCCGUGCUGAAAGUACAAUGCCGUUAAAGUGUGCGGAUAAACUCCUCAAUCUGUUAUCUCAUGCUGGUGGUGCAGAUCAGAGUUGGAGCCGGUUUUGUGUUUCAGUGAAAACUUUAAAAAAUGUACAAAAAUAAGUCACUUUAUUUGAAUCCGGUAGAAGAAAGUAGUUCAGGAAAACAGCUCAGCACUAGUAGAAGAGCACAUCUUCAGAUUCAAAUACUAGAAUCAGCAACACAUAGAAGCAGCGUUUAAUGAAAACUCCUUCAACUUUGGGUUUAUUAACUUGGGUGAGCCUUUGAUCAAAGCUGUUUUUGCUUAUCUUGUUUUAUACAUGAGUGUAAGUGUUUUCUUUUCUCCUCUUUUUUCUUUUAAAAGUCACAUGUAUCACUCAUUGUGAAUCUUUGCUCAGAAAAUGUUGCUCCAGCAGUGUGCGGUACUUUGUCUUACACCCACAGCAGCAAUUUUAAGUAAAAACUUUAAGAGUUUUUAGGCAACUGGAAUUAAUAUUGUGCCAUAAAAUAUUUCAACCAGCUAUGCACUCAAAAGUCAGCCUGCUGCCUCAUACAGACUUUUUGACCUCUCGAGACACAGGAAACCAAACGCAUUGGUAGCUGAUUUUAAAGUUUUUUAUGUAUUUUUUAUGUUCUAUACAUGCAGUCAUGGCUAAUUCUGAAAACAAUCCCCCAAGAUUCAGACAAAUAGUUGAGUAAAUAGCUGAUGCCUUGUGUGCUGUUUUAAACUCUGCCUUGAACAAAUAGAGCAUGCAGAAAUAGUUGACACACAUUCACCGUGUUAUAAGAGCAAUCAGGACAAAGACUGCUGUGCUUUUUUUUUUUUAUCAAAUAAAAUUCAUAAAGUGUCCUGUUCUAGUUUCCAAUCAGAAGCAGGAGCUGACUGAGGCGAUGAGCAGCCUUUGAUUGACCUUAAACGAAGAAUCUGGUCCUCGAAAAAAGACAAAUCAGGAUUAUUUGAACGUUUUUUUGUGAAUUGCCAAAUUAAAGCCCCAGUGAUGACUGACCUGAUACUGACUACUGAGGGCUACUUGAUUUAUCUUCUUUAUUGAAUCUGAUUUUGUGCUUGAAAUUGAUGUAACUCUUGAGGCUUCCUCAGAUGUAGAGUUAACCCUUAAGUCUAACUUUGUUAUUCUGUUAAAUGUGAAAGAAUAAUCACCUUUAACUCUUAAAAAUCCCAGCCUGUGUAUUGCUGCUGAAAUGCAUUUUUUUCAACAUCCCCCUGAUUUGUUCAAGUCCAAAGCCACGGGUCACACAGUGCUUCUUUCUCCCCCCCUCCGUCCCUCUCUUGCUCCUCCUCAUACACAAACAUAUCCCUCCAUCUCCUGUCGGCCUCCCUCCUCCUGCCCCUCCGUCCUUCCCUCUCCUCCUAUCUUGAUAAUGCAGCUCUUUUCUCUCUGUCGGGGUGGAGGGCUGCCUGAACCAACAUUGUCCCCUAUGCCGGCUCUAGUGGGGGGCCCUAUUGUGUGUGAAGGAAUGGGGAGUUAACACCCAUGUCUGAACCUGCUCAAUGGGUGCAUUGUGUCUGAAUCUUCCCUCGGCUCACCCAAUCUCACCCUGCGUCUCUCCUGCCCUUGCACGGGCCAAGGAAGGCAGGGUGUCCUCCAUGUCCUCAGCCAUUAAAAACAGAAAACAUAAACACAACUCAAAACUCACAAACACUCAAACUGGUAUUCUCAGCUCUUUGCUUUCUGUGUCCGGUUGAGUUUUCCAGCAAACUGCAGUGGGUUCAACACACUCCUGCACAAAAAGUGGGGGGUCAGUGGGUGCAUGGUUACUAAAGGAGGCCCCUGCGUCUCGUUUUUGUUAUAGAACAGAACAGAGAGAUGUAUAAAGGACAAUAUUGUAUUAGCAUGAUAACAGGAUUCAGAUGCUUUUUGAAAUAUCUCGAGUUGUAGGGCGUCGAUUGAAUCGGCUCAAAUUAUUACGUUAGAUUCAGCAAAGUUUCAAAGCAAAUCGUUCAAAAGAAUCUGAGGCAUGAUUAAAAAAGAUAUUAGACAUAAUGUUGAACCCUAUUGAAGUAUAAAGUGGAUUUUUUAUUGUGAGUUUUAAUGAGAGUGAUUUAUAUUUCAGGUUAAACAUUUAAAACAAUGAGCAGAAAUGGACUCGUCUGUUUCAGUAUUCUGAACAUUUAUUUGUUUCUGUAGCAGCGAGAGCCUUGGGGCAGGUUACAAAAGAGCAAGUUGGUGUUUUCUUCCCACAUAUUUUUAAUCAAAGUGUUAGUGUUUACAUUUGCAUUUGCAUUGAGCACAGGGAGGCUGAAUGCCAAAGGUGAGAUUUUGAAAAACACUCUAUUUUCCCUUUUUUUGCAGAUGGAAACAAGGGUGGGUGGUUGGAAGGCUGCAUAAAGGCUGCUGGAUGACUGAACUCAGAGACCCGGUGCAGCUCAUCAUCAUUGCCACGGGCUUUCGUCUUCCUCCUCUUUCUCCUGUGGCCCCGUACCAUUCCAUCCAGGGGUCCAGCAGAGCCAGCGAAGCCCAGGCGGGGAGCUUGUGAGUGGGCUGGGAAGGAUGGAGAAGCUCCCUGAAGGCUCGGAGCACCUCUGGAGCUAGCGGCGUGCAGGAGAAAUCAAUAUGAAACACAGAGCGCUGCACAGCUCUGAGUGGGGUUUCCUGUGUUAGUCUGCGGCCUCGGGGCCCGCAGACCUCCAAAGGACAGGCCCUGCAUGGCCCCUCUCAGCUGCAGAACCGGACCUCAGUUCCGAUCUCCGCUGGCUGUGUGUGGUUCUGCUGAAGGGGAUUGCUCCCCAAAUAAUACCCAGAAUGUGGAGAGACCGCCGAGAGGGAUAUUUCUUUUUCUCUUGAUUUUUCCUUCCUUCAUAAGAUUGACAUAUCCCCCACCUCCUGCCUCCAGCUGCUUAAAAACCAGUUUGGGAGAUCUGCUUUGGACUCUCUCUCCGUUCUCAACUCACCCGCUGUUUAUUCCCUGACCAGUUUUUAGAUUUGACAAAGAGACAGUACGAUCUUUAUUUUCUCCUCCACUUUCUCUUGGCUUGCAGUUACCAUGGUGAGCUGUAGAUGUGUCUGUUACGACCAGAAACGCAGGUACACGAAGUUUCAGCAUCUUUUUUUUUUUUUUUUGCUCCUCCAUGAUGUCUGCUCUUCAAUGCAAGACUGUAAAAAAAAAGUUCCCAACCACAGAGAGGGAGGAAGAUCACAGAGCAGAGAGACCCUGACACUCUGUAGAGGAGCUGGUGAAAUGGCAAGUAUCUCUCUUAAGCACUCAACAUAUUCCACUCCAUGAACAGCUCUCAGUGUGCUCUCAUUAAGUCAAACCCUGCCUCAUAUGGUGCUGCAUGUGUGUGUUUGUGCUCCCUUGUACCUCACAUGGUUCAGGGGGAUGUCAAUUACAGCUUCAAACAGAGGUUUCCCAAACUCUCAGAAAUACUUAGAAGUUAAAAAAGUUAAUCGGCAUAUUUUCAUCAAACCCCUCUGAUCAGUUGAAAAAACGUGUUUCUGUAUUCUCCAGCACAGAGCGCUCUGUUUGUGUGUGUAAGUGGUCUGUAUACGCUCCCAUUUGAACGGGUUUGCCAGUGUGCAGCAGCAGCAGCAGCAGCAGCACCCACAGCUCGUCAUCACAGCGAUGCAGUACGCCUGUUCCCAUCCAGAUGGGCACAGAUUCAGACAAAAUGGCCGCCAGUCUUCCCACUCUGCCAAAGAUGGCGGGCGCAACUCUGUCGCCUGCCAUCUGUGCAUCCGUUAGCUGUUGUCCAAUGCAAAUCAGGGCUAAUUGCAUUUGCAUAACCUCCAAACCGUCAGGUCGUUUGCACGCUCUGGUAAUUGCUCGUAUGAAGCGACGGCGUAGAUGACGUUCAAGCAGAAGCGCGUUCGUGUUUUAGCGUGUUUUGGGGCAUAAGUGUGUGGGUUGUUUUUUUUUAGGUUGUGGGUUUUGGCGUGCUGAAACAUGUCUGAUCGCUCCCUGAGAUCAAGAGUGUGGUCGUUCUGUGCCAUAUGGCGUGUUUGCGUGUGAUUCCCUUGCAUGCAAAUGUGACACUGUACUGAAAGAUUAAGUCAAAGCUGUUUUAGAAUCAGAGCUCUGUCACGCACACACACACAGACACACACACAUACAUAAUACACAGAUGAAAGCAUUAAGCAAAUAGAGCAGCUCAGACAUGCUCACAGGCUUUAAUUAAAAAGGGAUCCAUAGGCCCAACAAACUCUAGACACACCGCCAUCGUAAUAGUCUCAUAUUCAUGCACGUUGGUGUCUGGUUACCAUGGCGCUAAACAAAUGGGGGAAAUGGUUAAAUUAGCCGCACAUGACACGAUAAAUAGGUGAUAAAUUCUCCUGGUGAAGAAUGAUAUCAGUGUUAUUUCAAAGGAAUACAGAGUGAGACAGAAACGAUAGAUCUGCUGAAGGAUCAGCUGGAAAUAUUUCACCCAGAGAUCCGAUAACCUGGUGAAUACUGUUCGGAUCUGUUUAUGUAAUCAGACUGAAGCGCUGUGAAAUUGAAUAUCUCACGUUUCUGCUUUUCCACCACUGUGUCGCUUUCGAAGUCUCAUUUGAUUGAGCCGCUCUUGUUUUUGGGGGGCGUUUAUUCAUGUGAUGAGAGUCGUCUUUGUAACAAGGCGGCGCUCGUAUUUGCAUUCGCCCAUCGGGGCAGCUGCAGUGCUGUACAGUUAUGUCUACUGUGGGCAGCAAAAUGGCGGUCACGCAAAUCACAGGGUCUGUCUGCUGGUCGUGGGAGCUGAGGCGAGAGAGGAGGGGGAGGAGGAGGAGGAGGGGGAGGAUUUCAGGGCGUCUGGUUUGAGAAUAUGAGGGAAGGUUGCAGGGUCUAGACUAUGGGGUUGGGGGGGUCGCUCAUGAGGGGAUGAUGGAGUGGGGGGGGGUAUUUGUAGAGGUUAUUAUUUGAAGGGGGGGGUGUCUGGUUUUAGGAGGAGCAAUUAAUGAAGGAGUGAAGAGGAGAGGAGGGGGUUUAGUUUGUCUGCAUUUGUGAACAUGUGUCUGUGUCUCGGACAUUUGCAUAGAGCAAAGAGGGCGUCCAUAUGCCGCGCGGCACGGGGAGGCGAGGCGGGUCUGUCAUUUCAGGGUCUGAGCUGAGCGAAGACCUUGCCAAACACCCAGGAACACACACUUUACCACAGUCCUCACAAUAACUCUGAAGCACUCCUACCAUGCUAGAGCCUCAUGUUAGCAGCAUCACUGUUUCUGUCCUUUUUACCAGCCAAUGAGGGGACGCGGAGCUGCUUUCAGCCAAUAACGGCGCGUAAAGACCCAGGAAGAGGAAGGGAAGGCGCGGAGAGUUUACCCUUGAUGUGCCAGGCGAGAGAGGAUAAACAAUAAAACGCUUCUGCGCGGAGAGAGAGAGAGAGAGAGAGAGAGCACAGGGGGAGGAAGAAAAUGAGCAUCACUCUGCAUUCAUAACCCAGUUGGAAGGCAGAAAGAUAGAAAAUAAAGCAGCUGAUUAUGGGGAAAUAGAGAUCGAACGUCACACAUUUUCUUUGUAUGCCAGACACAGGGUGGUAGAAUGAUUACACGUCAAUCUGAGGGGUACAAAGGCAAAGAAAAGCCCCCCCUCCGCUGAAAAGAAAUGGAGUCAUGAAGACGGCGAGAGCUGCCAGGCAUAAAAACAUAACAAAACUCUUUAACAGGAGCGGAAAGAGGAACAAAAUAUUCCUUCUAAAAUGAUCUCUGUUGAAGAGUGCACUCUUAAUGUGAGGCAAAAAUGAUCAUAAGAGUGUUUCAUUUUCUGCUGUAAAAUCAGACAUGGGAUUUUUAAAACCUAGAUUUAUUAUUCAUGUGUUUAAACAGGACCUUCGUUAUAUCGUUGCUACACAAACGAUAUUCCAGUGUUGCCUUUAGCUCAUGAAAAGAGACACAGAAGAAUUACAGCAUUUUUAAAAAGUCUGUCUCAUAUUUUUAGAGUCACAAAAAAUCUGACUUUAUUUAAUUCAGACCUUUAAUUACUACACAUUAUAUUAAUUUUACAUAAUAGAUUUCAGUUUUUAAUAAUUGCAGUUCUCUUUUUAUAAAAUUUAAACAUAUCCGAAUUAAAGUAGUUCAUUUCAAGGCGAGAGGAAAGGAAAGAAAGGUCUCUCUCUCUCUCUCCAUCUGAGAAGAAAUGAAGUCAUGUAUAGACAGGUCGUGGUCGUCAAAAGGCCUUAAACAUGCAGACAUCCAGACACAGACACAAUGCAGAUCUCCAUAAUGUGGCACAUGAAUACUGGCACGUUUAAACCACGAUCGUCUCGGAGCUGAGGGUCUGAGUGGAGCGUGGGAAUGUGUGGCGAACAUAUGCAGAACAGUCAGGCGCUGGCGAGACGGCCCUGCUAGCAUGAAUGCUGUCGUAGCAGGUGAAAAGAGGACCCUAGAGUUCAGGGGUCAAGGCCAGUGCAGGGGCUGUCUGGCUCAUGUGUGUGUGUGUGUGUGUGUGUGUGUGUGUGCGUGUGUCUAUGUGUGUGUGAGAGAGAGAGACACGCACACACUCUGGUUGUCGUCUGGGUCUUGAUGCUAAUGAAGUAGCCCGGCUGUUUGAUAAGCACUGCUGUCUAUUGUUAGCCCAGUCUGGUGCUUCAGAGAGGACUAGACGGGGUGUAGGUUUGGACAAGAGCUCCUUCAUCAUGUUCUAGUCGCAGCAGAGCAGCAGACAGGCAGAUCGACAGGCAGCCUGAAGUCAGGCCUCCCCUGCUGAAACUCUGAUUGUGUUGUCUAGAAGACUUCUGUGCUUUCUCUGACGUUCCCCCUCUGAGUGACACGUUGGUCUAGGGCUCUGCAGUGUGGUGCCGCUCU